UACGGGGGGGGCAAGCGUUGUUCGGAAUUACUGGGCGUAAAGGGCUUGUAGGUGGCCAACUAAGUCAGACGUGAAAUCCCUCGGCUUAACCGGGGAACUGCGUCUGAUACUGGAUGGCUUGAGUUUGGGAGAGGGAUGCGGAAUUCCAGGUGUAGCGGUGAAAUGCGUAGAUAUCUGGAGGAACCCCGGUGGCGAAGGCGGCAUCCUGGACCAAGACUGACACUGAAAAGCGAAAGCCAGGGGAGCAAACGGG
rnacentral:rRNA from 1 species